rnacentral:tRNA from 2 species
GGCCCCAUCGUUCAGCGGUUAGGACUCCAGGUUUUCAUCCUGGCAACACGGGUUCGAUUCCCGUUGGGGUCACCA